rnacentral:rRNA from 1 species
GAUGAACGCUGGCGGCGUGCCUAACACAUGCAAGUCGAGCGAUGAAGUUCCUUCGGGAAACGGAUUAGCGGCGGACGGGUGAGUAACACGUGGGCAACCUACCUCAUAGAGGGGAAUAGCCUUCCGAAAGGGAGAUUAAUACCGCAUAACAUUUUUGAUUGGCAUCAAUCGGAAAUCAAAGGAGCAAUCCGCUAUGAGAUGGGCCCGCGUCGCAUUAGUUAGUUGGUGGGGUAAAGGCCUACCAAGACGACGAUGCGUAGCCGACCUGAGAGGGUGAUCGGCCACAUUGGGACUGAGACACGGCCCAGACUCCUACGGGAGGCAGCAGUGGGGAAUAUUGCACAAGUACGGGGAAACCCUGAUGCAGCAACGCCGCGUGAGUGAUGAAGGUCUUCGGAUUGUAAAGCUCUGUCUUUGGGGACGAUAAUGACGGUACCCAAGGAGGAAGCCACGGCUAACUACGUG